ACUAGCGCGGGGCGGUCCCGGGACGGGCUGGGGGCUUCACUCUGCUGCGGGAAACACCCCCUCCCCCCAGAAGAUGGCCACGUCGUAAGGAGUCAACACGCGUGGCAGAUGCGGGGAGACACCGCCAAGGGACCGAGUGAGGGACGGUCAGCAUUGGGCGUCCACUGCCUCCUGCUCUCAGGGCAUCGCGUCACCACCCCCGCUUCUCCCCCGAGGCCCCUUCCCAGACUUCCUGACACCGGGGUGCAUUUUUUUUUUUUUAAGAUUUUACUUAUUUAUUCAUGAGAGAGAGAGAGACAGAGACACAGGCAGAGGGAGAAGCAGGCUCCGUGCAGGGAGCCCGUCGCAGGACUCGAUCCUGGGUCUCCAGGGUCACGCCCUGGGCUGAAGGUAGCGCUAAACCGCCGAGCCACCUGGGCUGCCCCCGUUUUGCAUUUAUUUUUUUUCCCGUUUUGCAUUUAAAUAGCACCCAGGCCUCCAGCAUCCCUGGGGUCCACGGUACCCUGGUACCCUUCUCGCGUGGGAAGAGAGACGUCAGCACCUGCCGGGCCGGUCCUUCCCUCCCUGCACCCCUUGCAGGCUGACCUAGCCAUCUGCCUCCCCACUUCCCACCCAACCCCCCUCCACCACCACCACCACCACCACCACCACCACCACCACCACCAGGGGUCUCGCAACCCUCCAGCUCAGACUCAGAAGGCUGUUUUGGAGGAGAAAACUUCUUGACAGAGACCUUCGAAGAUAAUCUAGGAGCAAAUUUUAAGCACAGGUUACCCAAGCUGGACGCUUAGCUCAGAAUCAUGCUCCCACUUCUUCCUUCCUGAUCCUAAAGUGGGGAUGGCAGCAGUUGCUGAGGAUUCCAUCAGGCAUGGGACCUGGCCCCCUGUAAACACUGCACAAACCAGGCCCUCCCUGCAUUUUCUUCUUCAUUAGUCUCUUGAGUAAGCCUUGUCUCAAAGAUGGGCCAUGAGGUUGGCCCGCAGAUUUUUUUUUUAAGAUUUUAUUUAUGUAUUUAUUCAUGAGAGACACAGAGAGAGGCAGAGACACUGGCAGAGGGAGAAGCAGGCUCCACACAGGGAGCCCAACGUGGGACUCGAUCAAGACCCUGGGAUCACACCCUGAGCCGAAGGCAGACGCUCCACCACUGAGGCGUCCCGCUCCACCAGGCAUCCCGACCCACAGAUUGUAACAAGAGUCCGGAGUCAAAUAUUUGAGAGUCUGUUGGGUACAAGGCACUGGUGACAAGGUGACAGAAGACACAUCAGAAACACAGUCCCAGCUUCAUCCUCAAGCACCAUCUCUGACAGUCACAAUGCCUAUACUCAUGUAUUAAAGGCUCUGAGAAGUUCUGCAGUACCUGUACCUGUUUCACUUUCCUGAACCCAGGAUUUCCUAAAUUAAUGGGAUCAUGGAGACUUUUGGGUUUGGGUUCUUGAGGCUCUUUGGCCCUCAGUGGUGUUCAUUGGUAAUUCUGGUGCUCCCCUUUUGGGCAAAAGGUAUGGUUCUAUUUCCCUGCCCACAUCUGCAUGACUUGCUUUGGUCAACAGGUUGUAGGCAGAAGGGAUAGGUAUGUGUGGAUGACAACCUUAGAACACCCUACACCCCACCCCCAUUACUGUGAUCAGUGACCCUCCAGAUGAGGGGACAGUUUCAGGCUGGGCUAGCCAAGUGUGAUGGGUCUGUAGUAUGAGAAGUAAACCUGGGGAGUCUUUGUUAAAUGCAGCAUAGCCCAGCCUGCCCUAACUGAUAGAAUCACCUAGUGAUACCUGCAAGGAUGCCAGCUUUUGAGAAAAGUUGGCCUUACACAGUAUCAAUCUGGCCCCAUCAGUAGUAGAAAUGCAGUUCAGUGACCACACUGGUUCCCUUAAAAUCACACCUGUCUCAGAAGUCAUAGGGAAGGAACGCCGAUCUUCCCACAGAUGCCCUUGGGGUCACUCACCUCUCCGUGUAGCAUAGGCUCCAGGGAGUGGGCUGGGGACAAGAGGCCUUAAGUGGAGGUGGACUCGUCAGGAUUGGGACCAGCUGGAGGGGGCGGGGUCAGCCAGGGAAGAGGUGCUCAGGGGUCUGGCUCCUUGGACUUGGAAGUUGACGGAUACAGGGCAGCUCUGCACUGGAGGGGUUAUGUCGAGGUGCUCGGUAAUACCAAGGAAUAGCCAGGUGGAGGUGGCCAGGUGGGCUCGCCCCUCACCUGAGCUAGAGACUGGGGCUCCUCGGAGUGAACUCUUCCCCCCCCCCCACCCCUCCCCCCGGAACGACUGUGAACUCUGAGCACAGCAGGCAGGGGGACGAGCCCAGCACUCAGGACAGCGUGGGGUCACAGAGGAAGGAGAGGGACUCUAGGAGGAGGGGGUGCUGAUCCAGUUGUCCAGGACAGAACAUGUGGAGACCACCUGGCUGGAAGGGCCAGCCAUAAACCUGGGGGGGGGGGGGUGUCAUUUGAAGGAACUUGUCUGUGAGGGAAGGGAAAGAAAGGGGGGCUCCUGAGAGAGGACCCAGAAACAAGGGAAAACGUUUUCAAAGUCACAUUUAUUAUGAGUUAUUUUCCAAUGAAAGUAAUAAAUAUUUACCAUAGAAAUUUGAAAACCACAUACCAGCACAACAAAUGAACUAUAAUUAUGGGAGGGAUGAUAACAACCACUGUCAGUACUGGGGUGUGUACGUUCUCUGCCUUUGCUCUGUGCACAAUACACACCCACAAAUUAAUUAAUUAAUUAAUUAUUUAUUAACAAGACGAGGCUCAUGCUCAGCACCAAGUUUUGUUAUCUGUUCACCAAGGCUGUUGCUCCCUGGUCAUUACCUAGACUACACAGUUAUUAUUCCUGACAGUGGAAUGUAUUCCAGAGCAUAAAUGUGCCAUAUAAAGAAGAAGAGGUUUGUUCGAUAAGGUAGUAGGAACCCAAGAAUGUUCCGACGCACCGAUCAGAUACCUCAGCCGUGCUGGAGAGGUAUGGGGUGGGGGUAGGAUGGUAUUAAGGCACAGGUGGUGGGUGGGGCCUUGGCCAUUUCUGAAAGAACACUUCUUUGUCUUAACACACAUUUUUCAAAAAGUAUAAAACACAUGCUCAUUGUGAGAAGGUGGAACCAGUUCAAAAAGUAGUAAAAAAAAAAAAAAAAAAACAGUUGCAUGUAAUCCCAUGAGCUGUUAAAAUAAUUCCUUCUUUCUACCAGUCACAGAACUAGCAUGUGUAUACGGUCUACAGAAAGGUGGCAGUUAUUGUCAAAUACUGGUGAAGCGUGCUCGGAUCUGCUGCAGCCCAUGCUGCACAUCCAAUGGAAGACAGGUGAUCAGGGGAACUCGAGAAUCAGGGGCUCAGGGGCAGGUGUGAGGGAGGGCUCGGAGGAGCCCGGGGGCGUGGGUGGGGUGUCAGGCCUGGCCUCCCCCACCCCUAGGCCAGCUCAGCAAGGACCAGUGCCUUGUUCUGGAGCUUUAAGCAGCUGGGAGAGCCUACCUCUCGCCAGCUCUUGUCUCCCUUAGGAAGCGAGUGCUACCAGAACAGGAGCCUCGUCAGUACUCCCAUCCCGGAGACACAAGGACCCUGCGAGGAGCCACAAAGGGGGGGGGGGGGCGGCUCUGUGCCCUGGGAAGUGGCCCCGUAUGUUCAAGGAGCCUGCCUCUAGGAGCCCACAAUCUCAUGGCAGCUCAAGGGAAGGAGCUCACGUAGAGGCUGCCCCUAGAACCACAUUCUUUUUUCGAGGACACGUCUUUAUAACAAAGUGCUUUGUCUGAACUUUCUGGUUCUUCAACUCCCAACGUCCUUGCACAGUGUAGGUGAGAGCUACAGCUUCCUGUGCCAACGUGGAGGAUUUUGAGCUUAUCGCUGUUUCUUUCUUGCUACGCGCAAAUGCGUGAUUAUAUUUCACCUGGAGUCACAUUACUCUGUGCUUGCCAACAAAUCACACCUAGGGAGAAGUGAACUAUAAACUGAGCACAGAGGCAGAACAGCAGGACAUUAAGUGCCAGCACAGACGCGUCUGCAGAAAGAUCAGAAAGCACUUCUGAAAGAAUGUCCCAGACUCGUCUCCUCAAAUGACUCCGAAACGCUUCUGCACCAUAGGAUUGCGGGGAAGGAGGAGUCCCUCCCAACUCCAACCCGGAAAAGCCAGGCCAGGCAGGAGGAUGGGCUUGCCCAGCCGCCUCAGCUCCGGCACCUACUGGACAGCCAGGAGGGUAGCAGUGCCUUCAUGUUCUUCAGGGAAGGCUGCGGGCUGCUUGCCGGUGUCUGGGAUCUGAAACAAAAGGAAUACUGACUCAGCCGCUGUCCUGCUGCCCUGAGGUCUUCCAUCUCAGCAAGGAUGGAUGGACACCACCAGCCCACCCUGAGUGCGCCAUCAUGCCCACUCCGUGCACUGCACGGUGGUGGUGUCCAAAGCCACAGCGUCCUCCCUCCUGGGCAUCCAGAGGGUCACCAUCCUGGGUUCUAAGCUGGUAGCCCUCCAGCCCCCCGGGCCCCUCCCACUGGGCAUCCCAGUGGAGCCUAUCAGUUUCCUCCACAUAGACCAGCUUGCUGACCAGCCUGCACCACCAUCCCCAGGCUUCCUCCUUCUGACCAGCUGCCCUGCUCCCUCAGAAUCCAGGCAGACCCCAGGGCUUGCACUUGGCACCUCCUUCUGGCCCUAGAGCCUAUGAACACUUCAGGCCCACAGGUUCUAGUGAGGCCGGCCCUCCUCAUCCCUGCCUGGACCAGUACAGCUGCCCUCUGGCUGGUGAACCUGCUGCCCUAGGGCCGGGUGAUGAGACCUCCUUCCCGUGGCCACUACAGUCAUUGCCCAGUGGAAACCAGACCCUUCCACUCCCCUACUUUACAGCUCUUCGUGUCUGCCAAUAGCACUGAGAUAUCCUCUCCUGAGUGCCCACCAUGUCUCCAGUACUGUGCCAGGGGCUCCCAAAAGCCUGACCGAGACCCAGGGAAGAAAUGAAGGUCACCCACAGGGAACACAUAAGACCACCAAGGCUCACGAUUUCCAGGACUAGACCCAACCCUUGUAGCUGGAACAAGGCCUUUCUUGCUCUGAAUACGUUUUUAGAACUCAGAAGUAGCAGCAUCCCUGAGGCCAUGUUAGCAACCCAAGGAUGCUGGGUUCCACCCCCAGGGCUCCCCCAAGACUGAGCAAGUCUGAGCCCCGAUGAGAAUCUGCAUAAAUAGGCACCCCCAGCCCACUGAUGAAAGGUCCCCACCAGACCCACACACCCGUGGCCAGAUCACUGACCUGGACAUGGAGAACAGCUGUGUCAUCACCCGAGAACACAUACUCAAGGUGAGCCACUGCAGCCACCGGAUGUCCUCAGACCUAUCUGGAAACCAUGUCACCAGUCUGCAGGAAUAAGAAAAAGAGACACACAGGUUAUCAGCGUGAAAACAAGCCAACACACACACACACAAACUAAAGAAAAAGCAGGCAUCUGACAUCCAUGCCCUUUGUCCAGGAAACCACAUCCUCAGCCUUCCGCACCCCUGGGGAGUCAGCACCUCCAAGGAGCUUGGGUGACAGGGUCUCCAGGAUGCCCUCGUUCCAGGGCAGGAUGCUGAGGCGCAGGUGGUCCAGCAGCUCGUCUGGCUCGGGCUUCGUCCCACCGGCAGCCACCCUCGGGGGAGCUUCCGGGCUCCCGGGUUCCCAGGCCACUUUAAGAUUCUUCAUCUCGUCCGAGGAUAGAUUCAGGCACGGCUGGAGCCUGUUGCAGAUCCCUGCCAAGGACACGGGAAACCAACCACCAGGUCAGUGUGGGCAGCAGGAGGCACGACGCACGCACCCACCCAGGAACGACAGGGGCACGGGCAACCACUGGGGAAGCCACAGGCCUGUGGGCGAAGUAGGAGGCAGGCAUCCAUGAGGCCGGGCGUUCAGGCUUUUGUAACAGAAGGAGGUGUGGGGCUUUGAAGCCAAAGAGAGAUGGGAGUCUGGCUCCGGCUCCACCCCUCCCUAGCUGUCUGGGCUCCACGGCCACAUGGGGAUUCAUGCAGGUGAAAGAUAAGAAUUAUAAUGGAUUUAUAAUAACUAAAGCACUGGUUAAACCCACGUUCCAGGCCGCUUCGUCACCUCAGCUGAGAAAUCAGAGGCACAGAAUAGGUUAGGAGAUUCACCCAAAGCCACAUAGCCAGGAAGCGGAAGAGUGGGAUUCGAACCCAGGUCCAACAUUACAGAGGACACCCUUUCGCUGUGUGGCAUUGGAAGCAGCGCUAGGUGUGGGAGUUUGUGCAGACCCUGCCUUAGAUGCUGGGGCUCAGUAGCUUAUCCCAGUCAGUGGCUCCUGUUCUCGUAGAAUUGGCACGCUGGGUUGGGCAGGGGGUGGCUCCCUCAGGCUCCCAACCUCUGAGUAAAAUGACCAAGGGCUGGCGGUGCCUGGGUGGCUCAGCAGUUGAGCAUCUGCCUUCGGCUCAGGGUGUGAUCCCGGAAUCCAGGAUUGAGUCCCCCAUGGGCUCCCCACAGGGAGCCUGCUUCUCUCUCUGCCUGUGUCUCUGCCUCUCUCUGUGUGUCUCUCAUGAAUAAAUAAAAUCUUAAAAAAAAAUAGAAACCGACUUCUAACAUUGAAGACAAGCAGUUCCAAAUACAUCUAAUAUUUCAAGAGCCCAAGUCCCACUGCCCAGACCAGCCAGAUGACUCCCAAGGCAGGAACCUGCCCCAGAAAGGACAGCUGGGCUCACAGGUGUGACCUGCACCUGGUUGGAGGCAAGUAUUCUGAUUGCUCCACCUGGGGCCCGGGGGCAGAAACCCUGCUUAACUUCCUCUGUUUAUCUAAAUGUUCAAAACAGUUCACACAGGAAAAAAAGAAAACAAAACACAACGGACAGAACUGCCUUGACAGGCAGGUGGCCGUGCAGGAGAGGGUUCCUGUGUCCCCGAGUCCCGCCCCAGCUCCAGCCCUCAGUGAGCAGCAUGGGGGCCCUGGCUCACCUCCGCCUCCCCGCCUCCCCGGCUAUGAAAUGGGACAAAGACUUCCUAUCUCACAGGGCCAAUGAGUCGGCUGAGAAGAGGCUAAGGGAAGACACUGGGCAUGGAGUUUCUAACAUCAACCUCCAGUUACUGAUGCUAACGAAAAGCUUGUUAAAAGGACACAUCUGGGGGCACCCGGGUGGCUCAGUGGUUGAGCGUCUGCCUUCAGCUCAGAGUGUGAUCCCAGGGUCCCGGGAUUGAGUCCUGCAUCGGGUUCCUGGCAUGGGUCCUGCUUCUCCCUCUGCCUGUGUCUCUGCCUCUCUCUCUGUGUCUCUCAUGAAUAAAUAAAUAAAAUCUUAAAAAAAAAAAAAAAAAGGCCACGUCUGCCCCCACCUCACCCAUACAUACCGUUCUCUUCCAAGAACCU